rnacentral:rRNA from 1 species
GGCGGACGGGUGAGUAACGCGUGGGUAACCUGCCUCACACUGGGGGAUAACAGUUAGAAAUAGCUGCUAAUACCGCAUAAGCGCACGGUUCCGCAUGGAACAGUGUGAAAAACUCCGGUGGUGUGAGAUGGACCCGCGUCUGAUUAGCCAGUUGGCGGGGUAACGGCCCACCAAAGCGACGAUCAGUAGCCGGCCUGAGAGGGUGAACGGCCACAUUGGGACUGAGACACGGCCCAA